CAGUCGCCGCGGUAAUACGGAGGGGGCUAGCGUUGUUCGGAGUUACUGGGCGUAAAGCGCACGUAGGCGGCUUGGUAAGUUAGAGGUGAAAGCCUGGAGCUCAACUCCAGAAUUGCCUUUAAGACUGCCGAGCUAGCAGGUGAGAGAGGUAAGUGGAAUUCCGAGUGUAGAGGUGAAAUUCGUAGAUAUUCGGAAGAACACCAGUGGCGAAGGCGGCUUACUGGCUCAUACUGGACGCUGAGGUGCGAAAGCGUGGGGAGCAAACAGGAUUAGAGACCCCUGUAGUCCCUGUCUCUUAUAC
rnacentral:rRNA from 1 species